rnacentral:rRNA from 1 species
GACGAACGCUGGCGGCAUGCCUAACACAUGCAAGUCGAACGAGCACUUCAGGUCUAGUGGCCCCCGGCUUCAUCACGCGUGGGAACCUUCCCUUAGGUUCGGACUAACUACCCGACUGGGGUACUAAUAGCGGAUCAUGUCUUCGGACCAAACAUUUAUCGACUUUGGAUGGUCCCUCGUUGGAUUAGGUAGUUGGUAGGGUAAAAGCCUACCAAGGCGACGAUCAAUAGCUUGUCUGAGAGGAAGGGCAGCGACACUGGGACUGAGACACGGCCCAGACUCCUACGCGAGGGAGGAGUGGGUAACAGUGGAACACGGGCGGAAGCAUGAUCCACUAAGGACGGGAGAGUGAUGUAGGCCGUAGGGUUGUAAUGUGUUUGUAACUGGGAUGAUAAUGACAGUACCGGGAGAAAAAGCCACGGCUAACUCCGUG